CUGGGACACCCGGGAGAAGUUCGGGGUUCAAGUGCGCGCCUGGGUCUGUGCACAUCUUUUAACCUUCCUCGGCCUCCCUAGAGUUUCUGCACUGACCAUCUGCUACCUCAAGUGUCAUCAACUGGCUUGCAGUAAAGGAGUGAUGUGAUAAGAUUUUGUUUUAUUACAAUAACUCCAAGAGCCACUUGCGGGGGAAGAAAGCUAAUGGAACUCGAGAGCAGGUGAAAUGGGAGGCUAUGUGCAAGUUCUAAGAGAAUAAAAUUUGUUUUCUAAUGUUGCC